rnacentral:rRNA from 1 species
GCAAGUGGCGGCGUGCUUACACAUGCAGUCGUACCAUGGAUAGACCGUGCUUGCUGGGCGGAUUAGUGGCGAACGGGUGAGUAAUACGUGAGUAACCUGCCCUUGACUCUGGGAUAAGCCUGGGAAACUGGGUCUAAUACUGGAUACUACCUCUUACCGCAUGGUGGGUGGUGGAAAGGGUUUUACUGGUUUUGGAUGGGCUCACGGCCUAUCAGCUUGUUGGUGGGGUAAUGGCUCACCAAGGCGACGACGGGUAGCCGGCCUGAGAGGGUGACCGGCCACACUGGGACUGAGACACGGCCCAGACUCCUACGGGAGGCAGCAGUGGGGAAUAUUGCACAAUGGGCGGAAGCCUGAUGCAGCGACGCCGCGUGAGGGAUGACGGCCUUCGGGUUGUAAACCUCUUUCAGUAGGGAAGAAGCGAGAGUGACGGUACCUGCAGAAGAAGCGCCGGCUAACUACGUGCCAGCAGCCGCGGUAAUACGUAGGGCGCAAGCGUUGUCCGGAAUUAUUGGGCGUAAAGAGCUCGUAGGCGGUUUGUCGCGUCUGCUGUGAAAGCCCGGGGCUCAACCCCGGGUCUGCAGUGGGUACGGGCAGACUAGAGUGCAGUAGGGGAGACUGGAAUUCCUGGUGUAGCGGUGAAAUGCGCAGAUAUCAGGAGGAACACCGAUGGCGAAGGCAGGUCUCUGGGCUGUUACUGACGCUGAGGAGCGAAAGCAUGGGGAGCGAACAGGAUUAGAUACCCUGGUAGUCCAUGCCGUAAACGUUGGGCACUAGGUGUGGGGGACAUUCCACGUUUUCCGCGCCGUAGCUAACGCAUUAAGUGCCCCGCCUGGGGAGUACGGCCGCAAGGCUAAAACUCAAAGGAAUUGACGGGGGCCCGCACAAGCGGCGGAGCAUGCGGAUUAAUUCGAUGCAACGCGAAGAACCUUACCAAGGCUUGACAUUCACCGGACCGCCCCAGAGAUGGGGUUUCCCUUCGGGGCUGGUGGACAGGUGUGCAUGGUUGUCGUCAGCUCGUGUCGUGAGAUGUUGGGGUAAGUCCGCACGAGCGCAACCCUCGUUCUAUGUUGCAGCACGUGAUGGUGGGACUCAUAGAGACUGCUGGUUCACUCGAGAGUGGGAUGACGUCAUCAUCAUGCCCUAUGUCUGGCUCCGCAUGCUACAUGACGUUCAAAGGUUCAUCUGAGGUGGACUAUCAAGCCGAUUCAGUUCGGAUGAGGCUCUGUCACU